GGAGAGUUGACAGAGAGGCUUAAUGUGCCAGUUUCGAAAACUGGAGGGUGUAACAGCUCCAAGGGUUCAAAUCCCUUACUCUCCACCA
rnacentral:tRNA from 1 species